rnacentral:tRNA from 1 species
GAGGUUGUGGCUCAAUGGUUCAGCACUUGUCUAGCAUGCAUGAGGCACUGGGUUUGAUCCCCAGCACUACA